rnacentral:rRNA from 1 species
UGCUUUACACAUGCACGUCGAACGGAUUAAGAAGCUUGCUUCUUAGUUAGUGGCGAACGGGUGAGUAAUAUAUCGGAACAUAUCCGGAAGUGGGGGAUAACGUAGCGAAAGUUACGCUAAUACCGCAUAUGCCCUGAGGGGGAAAGGGGGGGAUCGCAAGACCUCUCGCUUUCGGAGUGGCCGAUAUCGGAUUAGCUAGUAGGUGAGGUAAAGGCUCACCUAGGCGACGAUCCGUAGCUGGUCUGAGAGGACGACCAGCCACACUGGAACUGAGACACGGUCCAGACUCCUACGGGAGGCAGCAGUGGGGAAUUGUUCGCAAUGGGCGCAAGCCUGACGACGCAACGCCGCGUGGAGGAUGAAGGUCUUCGGAUUGUAAACUCC